GACGAACCGUGCGAACGUUGUUCGGAUUCACUGGGCUUAAAGGGCGCGUAGGCGGGGGGUCAAGUCCGAGGUGAAAUCUUUCGGCUCAACCGGAAAAGUGCCUUGGAUACGGACUCCCUCGAGGGGGGUAGGGGCAUGUGGAACUUCCGGUGGAGCGGUGAAAUGCGUAGAUAUCGAGAGGAACACCUGCGGCGAAGGCGGGUUGCUGGGCUGAUACUGACGCUGAGGCGCGAAAGCCAGGGGAGCGAACGGG
rnacentral:rRNA from 1 species